rnacentral:rRNA from 1 species
GAUGAACGCUGGCGGCGUGCUUAACGCAUGCAAGUCGAACGGGAUCCAAGGGGUGCUUGCACUUUUUGGUGAGAGUGGCGAACGGGUGAGUAACACGUGAGUAACCUGUCCUUUUCUUUGGGAUAAGCAUUCGAAAGGGUGUUUAAUACCUUAUGUUCUGUCUGCCUCGCAUGGGGUGGGUGGGAAAGGCUUUGGCCGGAUUUGGGUGGGCUCGCGGUCUAUCAGCUUGUUGGUGGGGUGAUGGCUUACCAAGGCUUUGACGGGUAGCCGGCCUGAGAGGGGGGUCGGUCACAUUGGGACUGAGAGACGGCCCAGACUCCUGCGGGAGGCAGCAGUGGGGGAUAGUGCACAAAGGGCGAAAGCCUGAUGCAGCGACGCCGCGUGGGGGAUGAAGGCCUUCGGGUUGUAAACUUCUUUUGCUCUGAACAAGGCAUGCCAGUGGGUGUGUUGAGUGUAGGGGUUGAUUAGCGCCGGCUAACUACGUG